CGAAGCCUAGUUGUAUUAACUAUUAGUUAAUGCAAGAUCGACUACGUCCGACUAAAGUUUCUAGGGUAGAAUAAUGAUGAUGACAAUUUUUCUACCUAUAUGUCUUUGACCAAAUCUCGUGCCAGCAGUCGCGGUAAUACGUGGAAGACUAGUUGUUUAUUUCAUCUUUUAAUAGGUUUUAAAGGGGUACCUAGACGGUAUUUUUUAGCCCAAAACAGGGUACGGAUUUUACUAGAGUUUUUAUGUGAGGAGGGGAGUACUCGUAGAGUAGAGAUGAAAUUUUUGUGAUACUAUGAGGAAACUGGUGGGCGGCGAAAGCAACCCUUCUAUGUAUAAACUGACGUUUGAGGGGACGAAAGGCUUUGGGGUAGCAAAUAGGAUUUAGAUAACCCUAGUAGUUCCAAGCAAGAACAAAUUUCUUGAAUGCCAAUAGAAUUAGGAUUUAUUUUUUGGGUUCUUAUUAAAUGAAAAGUGGUAAAGCAAUUUCCAACCUUUAGGAGUAAUUGUGUGGCAAACACACAGGGAACCUGGAAAAUCAUUAGAACCGGUUUUCUUGAAAACCAGGUAGGUGAAGAGAUAUGUGUUAUUUUAAAUUUUGAUAAGUCCUUCAAAAAAACCUUAACCACACAACCUUGGAAAGUGUUAAUAAAAAUUAAAUUCACAAAGCGCGUGUGGACACGGCGCGUGUCCCUUAGAGUUAUAUUGCUCGGUAGAGGAUUUUGGGUUAAACUCUCAUUAUAUAUAACGUUAAACC
rnacentral:rRNA from 1 species